rnacentral:rRNA from 1 species
AUUGAACGCUGGCGGCGUGCCUUACGCAUGCAAGUCGAACGGUAACAGGUUAAGCUGACGAGUGGCGAACGGGUGAGUAAUGUAUCGGAACGUGCCCAGUCGUGGGGGAUAACUACUCGAAAGAGUGGCUAUACCGCAUACGACCUGAGGGUGAAAGCGGGGGACCGUAAGGCCUCGCGCGAUUGGAGCGGCCGAUAUCAGGUUAGCUAGUUGGUGGGGUAAAAGCCCACCAAGGCGACGAUCUGUAGCUGGUCUGAGAGGACGACCAGCCACACUGGGACUGAGACACGGCCCAGACUCCUACGGGAGGCAGCAGUGGGGAAUUUUGGACAAUGGACGCAAGUCUGAUCCAGCCAUGCCGCGUGCGGGAAGAAGGCCUUCGGGUUGUAAACCGCUUUUGUCAGGGAAGAAACGAGUUUCUCUAAUACAGAGACUUAAUGACGGUACCUGAAGAAUAAGCACCGGCUAACUACGUGCCAGCCGCCGCGGUAAAAC